UACGUAGGGUGCAAGCGUUGUCCGGAAUUAUUGGGCGUAAAGAGCUCGUAGGCGGUUUGUCACGUCGGCUGUGAAAACCCGAGGCUCAACCUCGGGCCUGCAGUCGAUACGGGCAGACUAGAGUGCUGUAGGGGGAGACUGGAAUUCCUGGUGUAGCGGUGAAAUGCGCAGAUAUCAGGAGGAACACCGGUGGCGAAGGCGGGGUCUCUGGGGCAGUAACUGACGCUGGAGGAGCGAAAGCGUGGGGAGCAAACAGG
rnacentral:rRNA from 1 species